AACGAACGCUGGCGGCAUGCCUAACACAUGCAAGUCGAACGAGACCUUCGGGUCUAGUGGCGCACGGGUGCGUAACGCGUGGGAAUCGGCCCUUGGGUUCGGGAUAACAGUUGGAAACGACUGCUAAUACCGGAUGAUGACUUCGGUCCAAAGAUUUAUCGCCCAGGGAUGAGCCCGCGUCGGAUUAGCUAGUUGGUGAGGUAAGAGCUCACCAAGGCGACGAUCCGUAGCUGGUCUGAGAGGAUGAUCAGCCACACUGGGACUGAGACACGGCCCAGACUCCUACGGGAGGCAGCAGUGGGGAAUAUUGGACAAUGGGCGAAAGCCUGAUCCAGCAAUGCCGCGUGAGUGAUGAAGGCCGUAGGGUUGUAAAGCUCUUUUACCCGGGAUGAUAAUGACAGUACCGGGAGAAUAAGCCCCGGCUAACUCCGUG
rnacentral:rRNA from 1 species